AACCACCGCGAGCGCCGCCUCAGCCAGUCAGCCCCUCAGCUCUCCUCGGACCCGGCCUCGCCGCGCGGGAGCGAGCUCACCUCGCCACGGCACCAACACCAUCCGCGGAGUCGCGACCCGUCCGGUUCUGUUGCUAGAUCGGGAGCUCUUGCUGCUUUUGGGUCUUGUCGCGGCAGCACCGCACAGCACCGGCGAUCGCGGUCGACGGAGUCCGGUGAGUCCCUGAUCUGCCCUGGCGCCCUGCAUCGGCUGUCGUCGUCUUUGCCUCCCGACGACCGGCUCGGAGCUCCCUGAUCUCGGCAGCUGCGCGCGGGCUUUGGACUGGGGCAGCGCUACUCGAUCCAGUCGGUUCGCCGGGCGAAUUUGAAUCGCGGAGGCGGAAGGUCAAACACCGAAGAUAUUCAUCGCCGGUGCUGCUGGAUUGGGAGGAAGCCGCCGCGCCUUCGAGAUUCCAAGUGAUUUUGGUUCGGUAGAGCUGCGCGCCUUGAAUUGGUCGGAGAGGCCGAUUCGGCAGCUGGGGAGAGCUGUCGAAUGGGAGAUCGCGCGGCGGCGGCCGCGGAGGGGAGAUGGUGAGCGGGAGCUUCAGCCGGAGCACAUCGGCGCGGCUCGCAGCGAGGGGCGGCGUCGGGAGCCCGCGGGUCUCCACGCCGGGGGCCGCGCACCGGAACUGGUGGGCGGCGGCGCCGUCGGGGACGUCAUUCGAGCGCGUCGCAUUCGCCUUCUUCCUGGCCUCCCUCGCGCUCGUGCUCUCCUGCGCGCUGUACCUGUACGUCUUCCGGCACCCGGGCCGGGACCGUGUGGUCGCCGAGUUCGCCGGCGGCGAGAAUCUCGAGUCCUGCGACGUGUUUGACGGCAUCUGGGUGCCCGAUGAGAGGUACCCCCUGUACAACAGCUCCCGGUGCCCGUUUGCGGAGAGGGGGUUCAAUUGCCUGGCCAAUGGGAGGAAGGACACCGAGUAUCUCAAGUGGAGGUGGAAGCCUCGGGGAUGCGAUUUGCCGCGGUUCAGUGCCCGGUCUGUGCUGGAGUGGCUGAGAGGGAAGAGGGUCGUGUUUGUGGGGGAUUCCAUGAGCAGAACGCAGUGGGAGUCCUUCAUUUGCAUGCUCAUGACUGGGGUGGAUGAUCCAGAUACGGUUUAUGAGGUUAAUGGCAACCAAAUCUCAAAGACAAUCCGGUUUUUAGGAGUGAGAUUUGAGUCGUUCAACCUUAGUGUGGAGUUCUUCCGGUCUGUGUUCCUUGUGCAGCAGAUUCCUGCGCUUCGCCAUGGGCGUAGAAGGGUCCGUGCCAUCCUCAAGCUCGAUAAGUUGGAUGAUUUAAGUAGGAAAUGGGCAGAUUCAGAUGUGCUUAUUUUCAACUCAGGACAUUGGUGGACUGCCAGCAAAUUAUUUGACAUGGGUUGCUAUUUUGAGGCUGGAGGUGUGCUUAAACUGGGAACAUCCAUUAAUGCUGCUUUCAAAAUGGCACUGGAAACUUGGGCCUCAUGGGUGAAACAGAGAGUUGAUUUACGACGAACGCGUGUGUUCUUCCGUACAUAUGAACCAUCUCACUGGAGUGGCUUAAAUCAAAAGGUUUGUGAAGUAACAGAACAACCUACAACUGAGGCCAAAGGAGAUGACCGGAGAGAAUUUGGGGAUAUACUUGCUGAUGUCGUGGCGAAUACAAGUGUCCCUGUCACUGUACUAAAUGUGACUUUGAUGGGGGCCUUCAGAAGUGAUGCUCAUAUUGGCCUUUGGAGUCAUCCUAAUACCAUACUUGAUUGCAGCCACUGGUGCCUUCCUGGAGUUCCAGAUGCUUGGAAUGAACUUGUAUUUUCCCAUCUGUUGACAAAUGGUUGGCGAGGGCUGGUUAGCUGACUGUUGACAUGAUAUACUCAUUUUCUUUCAGUUUCAUCAUUUACGUCAUCUUCAGCUAGGAAAGGAGGGUUUUGUCGCUUGCGCGAUUGCAUCGGCGCCUCAGCGCCAGCCAACUGCCCAGGUCAGCCCGCCGGUGCACCGACCAUUACGCUGUGAACCUGUGAUCCCGUGACCUGGUCGGCAGCGGGCGGCCUCGCAACUCGCAACAUGAGAAAAGGCACCCUGUCACCAUUCCGCGACUGUGCCAUUAUCCCGUGAGUAGAAAGCUUCCGGAACACUGAUGACAGAAACCUCCAAUGUCACAUGACGGAUCAAACAACCUGCUGUGUGUGGCAGCACGCCACGGUGCGAAGGGCACUACUGGACGUGUGUGAUCGCCUGUCGCGGUAAUCUCUUCGGCCUCUUGCGAACCGGCAGCUAUCGUGCCAAAUUAGCCAAUCGAUGCACCCGACUGUGGAGGCAAUCAGGCAGUGCAAGAGGGGCAAGCAUGCUUUGUGCCGUGCACGGUUGUGCAAUUUCAGUUCAAGUGCCUCUGCCCCCUGCCGUGCGGGCCGUGCCGAUGAACAACACUUAGCUCAAACUUACAGAGCUCAAACUUUUGACUGGACGAUUUGAAUUGGUGAUUCAGAGUGUGAAACUCAUAACUUAGAGAUCUUGCUUUGCUUCAUGGUGAUGUACAGACCCAGGAAUGUAAACCAACAAUCCUUUUUUUUCUUUUUUCUUUUUUUUUUUUGAACGGAACGAUGACAAUGGUUACAUGUAUAGAUUGUCGCCUCAAAAAAAAUGCAUAGAUUGGAUCA